GACGUAGGGCGCGAGCGUUGUCCGGAUUUAUUGGGCGUAAAGAGCUCGUAGGCGGCUUGUCGCGUCGAAUGUGAAAACUCGGGGCUCAACUCCGAGCUUGCAGUCGAUACGGGCAGGCUAGAAUUCGGUAGGGGAGACUGGAAUUCCUGGUGUAGCGGUGAAAUGCGCAGAUAUCAGGAGGAACACCGGUGGCGAAGGCGGGUCUCUGGGCCGAUAUUGACGCUGAGGAGCGAAAGCGUGGGGAGCGAACAGG
rnacentral:rRNA from 1 species